GACGAACGCUGGCGGCGUGCCUAAUACAUGCAAGUAGAACGCUGAAGGAGGAGCUUGCUUCUCUGGAUGAGUUGCGAACGGGUGAGUAACGCGUAGGUAACCUGCCUGGUAGUGGGGGAUAACUAUUGGAAACGAUAGCUAAUACCGCAUAAUAGCAGUUGUUGCAUGAUAACUGUUUGAAAGGUGCAAUUGCACCGCUACCAGAUGGACCUGCGUUGUAUUAGCUAGUUGGUGGGGUAACGGCUCACCAAGGCGACGAUACAUAGCCGACCUGAGAGGGUGAUCGGCCACACUGGGACUGAGACACGGCCCUGACUCCUGCGGGAGGCAGCAGUAGGGAAUCUUCGGCAAUAGACGGAAGUCUGACCGAGCAACGCCGCGUGAGUGAAGAAGGUUUUCGGAUCGUAAAGCUCUGUUGUAAGAGAAGAACGAGUGUGGGAGUGGAAAGUUCACACUGUGCCGGUAUCUUACCAGAAAGGGACGGCUAACUACGU
rnacentral:rRNA from 1 species